CACGUAGGGGCCAAGCGUUGUCCGGAUUCAUUGGGCGUAAAGAGCUCGUAGGCGGUUCAGUUAGUCGGGUGUGAAAUCCCUCAGCUUAACUGGGGAACUGCGUCUGAUACUGGAUGGCUUGGAUCCGGGAGAGGGAUGCGGAAUUCCAGGUGUAGCGGUGAAAUGCGUAGAUAUCUGGAGGAAUACCGGUGGCGAAGGCGGCAUCCUGGACCGGCAUUGACGCUGAGGAGCGAAAGCCAGGGGAGCAAACGGG
rnacentral:rRNA from 1 species